rnacentral:rRNA from 1 species
UACGAAGGGGGCUAGCGUUGCUCGGAAUUACUGGGUGUAAAGGGUUCGUAGGCGGUGUGGCAAGUCGGGAGUGAAAUUUCUGGGCUCAACUCAGAGACUGCUUCCGAAACUGCUGUGCUGGAGUGUGGGAGAGGCGCGUGGAAUUGCAGGUGUAGCGGUGAAAAUGCGUAGAUAUCUGCAGGAACACCCGUGGCGAAAGCGGCGCGCUGGACCACUACUGACGCUGAGGAACGAAGGUCAGGGGAGCAAACGGGG